UACGUAGGGUGCAAGCGUUGUUCGGAAUUACUGGGCGUAAAGGGCUCGUAGGCGGCCAACUAAGUCGGAUGUGAAAUCCCCAGGCUUAACUUGGGAACUGCAUCCGAUACUGGAUGGCUUGAAUCCGGGAGAGGGAUGCGGAAUUCCAGGUGUAGCGGUGAAAUGCGUAGAUAUCUGGAGGAACACCGGUGGCGAAGGCGGCAUCCUGGACCGGUAUUGACGCUGAUGCGCGAAAGCCAGGGGAGCAAACGGG
rnacentral:rRNA from 1 species